rnacentral:tRNA from 1 species
GCACUGGUGGUUCAAUGGUAGAAUGCUCGCCUCCCAAGCGGGCAAUCCGGGUUCGAUUCCAGGCCAGUGCA